AUUGAACGCUGGCGGCAGGCCUAACACAUGCAAGUCGAGCGAGCGGCGGACGGGUGAGUAAUGCCUGGGAAUUGCCCAGUCGAGGGGGAUAACAGUUGGAAACGCCUGCUAAUACCGCAUACGAUUGGAAUGCCCAGGUGGGAUUAGCUUGUUGGUGGGGUAAUGGCUCACCAAGGCGACGAUCCGUCGCUGGUCUGAUAGGAUGUUCAGCCACACUGGAACUGGCACACGGUCCAGACUCCUACGGGAGGCAACAGUGGGGAAUAUUGCACAAUGGAGGAAACCCUGAUGCAGCCAUGCCGCGGAUGUGAAGAAGGCCUUCGGGUUGUAAGGCACUUUAAGCGAGACGGCGUUACUCGCAGAAGAAGCACCGGCUAACUCCGUGCCAGCAGCCGCGGUAAUUC
rnacentral:rRNA from 1 species